AAAACGAAUGUCUCUCACUCUCUCGAAUACCCUCUUCCCCCUAACCCUAAAUCCCCAAAAGCCAAAACAGCAGUCCUUCAAGUCUUCCUCAGCUGCUCAUCACACCAUACAUAGUUGAUCACCACACCUCACCUCACCGCCGACCUGUCGUCUUCUUCCUCCCCUCGUCACACCAACACUCUUCCUCGUAGUCUCGAAGACUCUCUUCCUCUGCUUCGUCUCGCUGGCUUCACAGUGUGUCCGAGUACGUCUAGUUCGUGGCUUCGCGUCUCUCCUCGUCGUAGUCACGUCUCCUGUGUCACUGCUGCGGUGCUACCUCUCGUCGCUGCUGCGGUGCCGCCUCUCCGUCGCUGCUGCGUUGCUGCCUCUUCGUCGCCAGAAUCUGCCUCAUCCAGAAUGUCUUCAGCCAAUACACCAUCAGAAACACCAUCCUCUGCAGCUCCUUGCUCGUCGGCGCCGUCAGCGCAUCCUCUCCGUCCACUGCCUCCUCUCUCGGAUUGCUGGAUUGCUGGAUUUUUUAUUAAUUUUUGAUUAUGCCAUUAUGCUUGUUUGCUUUAGAAGAAGGAUUGCUGGAUUUUCUAGCAAUUUUUGUCGGAGUUAUUUGUUGUUGAACUAUUAUGCCAUUGUGCAUCUGUUUAGUGUAGUGACUCUGAGUCUUUUUGUCGAAUUAUUUGCUGUUGAACUACUAUGGUGUUGCUUUUAAAUGUGUGUUCAAUUAAAUGGUUAUUUUCAAGUUGAA